UGCUGAGGUUUGGUAUUUGCGAGUCAUUGAAUGCAGCAUUACUAUUGUUGUAAGGAGUUGAACUCAACAGCUGCCGACCAAACCACAUACGAUGUUCACAAAUUUUUAUUUACUUAUUCUCUAAAAGACUAGAAGACCUACUCAAAGACAACUUUAACAGAUAAAUUACAGCAUUUGCCUCAAAGAGAGAGACGUUUAAGCGAACUGAAAAGGUUCUCAUGCUAAUAUCCUUUCCAGAGAGCCUAGCAGGGCCAUUACUGCCACCUGUCGUGUUGGAAGUCGUAUAAAAUGGCCUACUUUAACAAACUAUUUGUUUGUUGGAGUCGCACAACAUAUAUUUGAAUUCAACCGACGUGUGUUUAAAGAGUCAAAAGGCUGCAACGUUAGCACAUUUCAGAAUAUAGCCUUAGCACCGACCGUGAUGCCUACAACGACUUAAAAGACUAUUUCUCGUGUGAAAGUGGCAGGUCCUUAACUGCCUGAUUGCCACUGUGAAGCUCAGGAAUUUCCUUACGCCGACUUUCCUGCAUGGCAAAGGCACAGGACUGAUUCCUUCCCUGCUGAAACAGCAAAUCCUUGAGUCAGACAUGAGGGGAGGCUCAUUCGCUGCUGCCAGUCCUAAGAUUAUUAUCAUUAAGAGGAAGCAAAUAAAAUGAUUCCAUCGCUGUAAAUACUGCAGAGAAGAGACAGAGCCCGGGCCCGUCAGAGGGAAUGAAAAUGAGGAAUGGAUGACUCGUGCGAGUUGCUGACUUCUGAACUGAUAGACGUCCACUCCCAGGCAGGCUUGAUGGGGGCAGACGUGUCCCAAAGGGCCCGGGCUGGAUUUGGACUCAGGAUGCUGUGGUGAGGACUCAGUCUCGCUGUGUGGUACAUGCUCUACCAGCCAAGGAGCACACUUAAGUGAGCCAGGUACGAGAGUUGCAACCAUGUGAGGGAGGAAAAGCUCAUCAAGGCUUACGGGAUGACAAAUUCCACCAUAUGCAUGUGGAUCUUCAACUGGCACUGAUGCAUGAACAGUAGGUAAAAAGUUUGAAUCACAAGCGCCGGUCAGAAAGUUUUUCAGAGGCAGUUUGGUGAAUGAAGGUGUGGGCGAGUCCAUGUGGCGAUGCAGAUGACGUAAAGACACAGUAGGUGUGUGCAGCAGUGGAGUGAUAAGGUGAGGUGGUGGCGGUGGUGGGCGCUAUAGUGUAACGCCUGUCACCGCACACGCAUGCUUUGUGUACACA